rnacentral:rRNA from 1 species
UACAGAGGGGGCAAGCGUUGUUCGGAAUUACUGGGCGUAAAGGGCGCGUAGGCGGCCUUCUAAGUCGAACGUGAAAUCCCCGGGCUCAACCCGGGAACUGCGUCCGAUACUGGAAGGCUUGAAUCCGGGAGAGGGAUGCGGAAUUCCGCGUGUAGCAGUGAAAUGCGUAGAGAUCGGAAAGAACACCAACGGCGAAAGCACUCUGCUGGGCCGACACUGACACUGAGAGACGAAAGCUAGGGGAGCGAAUGGG